rnacentral:rRNA from 1 species
GCGAUAAGCGCCGGUAAGGUGAUAUGAACCGUUAUAACCGGCGAUACCCGAAUGGGGAAACCCAGUGUGACUCGUCACACUAUCAUUAACUGAAUCCAUAGGUUAAUGAGGCGAACCGGGGGAACUGAAACAUCUAAGUACCCCGAGGAAAAGAAAUCAACCGAGAUUCCCCCAGUAGCGGCGAGCGAACGGGGAGGAGCCCAGAGCCUGAAUCAGCAUGUGUGUUAGUGGAAGCGUCUGGAAAGGCGCGCGAUACAGGGUGACAGCCCCGUACACAAAAGCGCAUGUGCUGUGAGCUCGAUGAGUAGGGCGGGACACGUGGUAUCCUGUCUGAAUAUGGGGGGACCAUCCUCCAAGGCUAAAUACUCCUGACUGACCGAUAGUGAACCAGUACCGUGAGGGAAAGGCGAAAAGAACCCCGGCGAGGGGAGUGAAAAAGAACCUGAAACCGUGUACGUACAAGCAGUGGGAGCACCCUUUGGGUGUGACUGCGUACCUUUUGUAUAAUGGGUCAGCGACUUAUAUUCUGUAGCAAGGUUAACCGAAUAGGGGAGCCGGAGGGAAACCGAGUCUUAACCGGGCGUUAAGUUGCAGGGUAUAGACCCGAAACCCGGUGAUCUAGCCAUGGGCAGGUUGAAGGUUGGGUAACACUAACUGGAGGACCGAACCGACUAAUGUUGAAAAAUUAGCGGAUGACCUGUGGCUGGGGGUGAAAGGCCAAUCAAACCGGGAGAUAGCUGGUUCUCCCCGAAAGCUAUUUAGGUAGCGCCUCGUGAAUUCAUCUCCGGGGGUAGAGCACUGUUUCGGCUAGGGGGCCAUCCCGGCUUACCAACCCGAUGCAAACUGCGAAUACCGGAGAAUGUUAUCACGGGAGACACACGGCGGGUGCUAACGUCCGUCGUGAAGAGGGAAACAACCCAGACCGCCAGCUAAGGUCCCAAAGUCAUGGUUAAGUGGGAAACGAUGUGGGAAGGCCCAGACAGCCAGGAUGUUGGCUUAGAAGCAGCCAUCAUUUAAAGAAAGCGUAAUAGCUCACUGGUCGAGUCGGCCUGCGCGGAAGAUGUAACGGGGCUAAACCAUGCACCGAAGCUGCGGCAGCGACACUGUGUGUUGUUGGGUAGGGGAGCGUUCUGUAAGCCUGCGAAGGUGGCCUGUGAGGGUUGCUGGAGGUAUCAGAAGUGCGAAUGCUGACAUAAGUAACGAUAAAGCG